GAAAAAAGCGAACAUUAUUUUCAUUUUUUGCUAGAAUGGCACAUCAAAAGGCAAAAGCAGCAGAGAACCAAAUGCUACCGCAAAAUGAUGUGGCCGUUGCAACUGUUUCAAAUUUUGAACUAAAAAAGGUCACUCCUUUUCUAUCUCUCCCUCUCUCUCUCUCACUAAAGAAAAGCUCGUUCAAUGACUUCAUUUGGAAUUGAUAUUCAUCACGGUUUUUCUAUUGUUUAACUAUCAACUUUUGUUCUUUUUUUUUCUUUAACCAUCAACUUUGACUUAUUGAUAUUCAAAUUACAAGAAAUUAUACAAAUUUACAAAUAUUUCUACACCUAAAACUUAGUAAGUUCAUUGCAAAUUUGAGGUGGUUUGACGUGUGUAAAAAUAAUACUAAAGGCCAGGCACCCCAGGCCGUCGCCCGGUCAAAAUUUUUUUUUGUUACCUAUAAAUGUAUGAUUUUAAAUUUUUUUUUAUCUAUAUAUGUUAAUCUCGCCCGGUCAUAAUUGUGUCAUUUCAAAUAAUUAUUCAAGAUUCAACUCGUUUUCUUUAUUAAAACUUUAUUAGAAUCAUCCGGUGAAAUCUCGCCCGAUCAUUAUUAAAUUUCUAGAUCCGUCCCUGUUUGUGAAUUAUAUUGGUGACUGAAAGAAAAAUGAAUAUAUUAUUAUAAAAUUGAGUUAGAUUGAAUUGGGUGAGUAAAUCUCGAUAAGGUCGCAUGUAGGGCUGUCUAAAUGGUUAUCGGGUUUUGGGUAUCCAAUUAGUCGAACCGAAAUUCCCGGGUUUGGGUAUCCAAUAAUCGAAAAUUUCGGGUAAUNUCAAGCCACAUAAUCAAAUUUGUGACAGUUAUACAUAGCUUUCAAGUAUCAAAAAAUUUGUCCGAUGAUAGAUUUGAAUAAUUUUCCAAAAAUAAGUAUUAAUUAGUCAAAAUCAACUAUUCAAAAUGGAAUUGAAAAAUAGUACUCCCUCCGUCCCAGAAAUAAUGGCCCGUUUCUUUUGGGCACGGAGAUUAAGAAGUGUUGAAUUAAGGAGAUAAAUGAUGGGCCACACAUUUAAAGAUGUUAUUAGUAAAAUUAAUUAUAUUAGCUAAUCUACUUCAAUUAUGAUGGCACCACCACCAUUUCCCCUUUCGGCAACACAGCCGUCCGACCAACCACUCCGGCAACACCAACCUCCCGCCACUCCUCCACUGCCAACACCAGCAAACCCCAUCUCUCCCAUUUCUCCAAUAUGCAAAAACAGAAUUCAUCCAACGAAUUGAAACAGAAAUUCAAAUUACCAAAAAGUAAAACAGAAUCAAAAUGCAAAAGGAAAUGCAUAAUCAAAAUUCAUCCAAAAUCAAAUUCAUUCAUAAAUUCAAAAUUCAAAGGAAAGCCUCAUCAAAAAUUUGUUCCAAAAUCAAAUUCAUUCCAGAAUAAGGCUUCAUUCCAUAAAUUCAAAAUUCAUUCCAGAACAAAGCUUCAUCAAAAUUCAAACUUGAUCCCUAAAUUCAAAUGAAAAAUUAUCACAAAGCUUCAAUUCCAUAAAUCUGGAGAAGAGUGGAGAGAAAGAGGCGGCAGCGCCUUCGCCUUCGCUGGCUCGCUGCUGCUACUGCUACGAGGGUGAAGGCGGGAGCGCGGAGGGUGAAGGCAUCUCUUGCUUUCGCCACACCUUCUCCGGAGAGUGAAGGUAGGAGCGCGGAGGCGACGGCCGCCUUAGGGUUAUGCAGUCACCAGAGGGUUGAGGCGAGUGAACCGGUGGAGGGCGGAGGCGAUGGGUGGAACCGGCUAGGCUGGAGGGCAGUGAAAGGGAAAGAAAAAGAAAGAAAAAGUAGCCGCUGCUUUCGCCUCACCGUCGAAAGGUUGUGCAGAGGGGGGAUGAGGCCUACUGGUGACCGUGGUGGAGAGAUGGGAGGCGGAUUGAAGCAGUCGAGAUAUGGGAGAUAGAGGCGGUGGGGUAGAUGGAGGCGGUGGCCGGUGGAGUGAGAGAGAAAUUAAAGUAGAGAGAGAAUAAAGAAUCAAGAGAGAGGGUGAAAUUCAUUUAGGGUUAGGUAGUGAUUUAAAUUAGGAUGCUAAUUAAUUUUUUAAACCAUGCCUAAUUAUUUCUAAAAAAGGAAACAUGCCAUUAUUUGUGGGACAACCCAAAGAGGAAAACAGGCCAUUAUUUAUGGGACGGAGGGAGUAAUUGUUUUCUAAAUGACUAUUUGACCUUUUAUUAAACAUGGCAAUGCCAUGCCGCAUAGUCAGUGCUCCUAUGUAUGGCUCAUGAUCCGAAGGGUUAAUUAAGAAAUCUUACAAAUUUAAAAGUUUACCACGCAGAGUUGAAGUUUAUUCAUGUUUUUCUGAAGCAUCCGAAUAUAAUUAUUCGUUAGCACUUUUUUUUUUAAAGAAAACCAAUAAUAAUUCCUUAUUUUCCCUCUAAAAUGACUUUUAGACUCAUGAUUAAAGGAAACAUAUCUUACCUAGAGAAUUGCACUUCGUUAUCUUAUUAGUUAACACUUGACAGUGAAUAGUUCUUCAUUUAAUUAUAUUAGUACAAUUCAUGCAUAAAAUUAAAAUACAUCCAUUUGGAAUAUGCAGCAUGUAAUCUCUAACCACACGACAUUUUGUUUUACUAUAAGGAUUUUAAAACUAACUCAAGUAGAAGCAAAAAUACAUGAGCGUAAAUUAUUCCAUUAUAUUGAAAGUUAAAAACCUCAAUAAAUUUGCUAGCACCAAUCCCAAGAAAAUCCAUUAAUCCAAAUUACAGUAUAUAUUAGCUCUUAGCAUACUUGAGUCUGUAAUUACUACUAAUGUCAGCUGCCUCACAUCCUUAAAAUUUCAAAUAACUCAGCUGCGCACAAUUGAGAUAAUGUUUAUCAAUCUACAACUGCAGAAUUGAUGUUAUAUGUCACCACAUAACAUAAGAAAAAAUUCAGAUUCAACGCCAAAUUGGAAGGCGUUGAUGCAUAAACAUGUACAAUCAUUGUGCUCUACUCACUGGCUCAAGAGCUUCAACAGUAACCACACUAUUUCCUCUUAUCACCUGCAGAGAAGAAAACAAAAAAUGAAAACAAAUCAAAAGUUUAUACAUAGCUAUUCAGCAAAAAUACACCAAACGAAUCUAAUACUACUCACCACCAUGCCAAUAUCAGUUUUUUCAUUUCCAUUCACUUCAACAGUGUUGUCCACCACCAGGUUCAUAAACUGAUCGAAGCCACGAAGGGUUCCAACAACCAUACGGUUGGCAUUAAGCUUGACUGAAAAGCAGACAGAUUUGCACACUUCAAUGUCGAGGUGGACAACAACCACUUAAAGGCGCACACACAAGUUAUUUGAAAUUUUA
rnacentral:lncRNA from 1 species